CUAUACAUGACUCUGCGCAUAUCAAUAAGCGGAGGAAAAGAAACUAACAAGGAUUCCCUUAGUAACGGCGAGUGAAGCGGGAAGAGCUCAAAUUUGAAAUCUUCAAGGUUUUACCUUGACGAAUUGUAGUUUAAAGAAGUGUUUUCUGCUGAAGUUUUGGUAAAAGUUCUUUGGAAUAGGACAUCAUAGAGGGUGAGAAUCCCGUAUUUGACCAUUAUUUUCAGCUUUGUGAUACACUUUCAAAGAGUCGGAUUGUUUGGGAAUGCAGUCCAAAAUGGGUGGUAAAUUUCAUCUAAAGCUAAAUAUUGGCGAGAGACCGAUAGCGAACAAGUACCGUGAGGGGAAGAUGAAAGGAACUUUGAAAAGAGAGUUAAACAGUACGUGAAAUUGUCAAAAGGGAAGCGUUUGACACCAGUGUUGUUUUCUCGAAAAUCAAUUAAAAAUGGCUCGAUUUUGUAUUGCUGAGACCUUAAAAGCUCACUGUACAUUUUUCGUGUCUUUUUUAAUGCACUUUUCGUUUAACAAGUCAACAUCAGUUUCUUUUGUUGUAAAAGGGUCAUUGGAAGGUGGCUUUCUUUUCGGAGAGAGUGUUUAUAGCCUUUGGCCUCUGCAAUCGGAGAGACUGAGGUCUGCAGCGUAGACUCUUCGGGGUUAGAUACAUUUGUGCUAAGUUAUAGCUUUUUAUAGACAACUUGUUGACUAUAAUUAGUCUUGUAGCUUACUCGCUUAUGCUAUUUUACCUACGCUUAGGAUGUUGAAGAUGUAGCACAUCAU
rnacentral:rRNA from 1 species